rnacentral:tRNA from 1 species
GUACGUAGUGACACGUGGCGGCACGUAUCAACCGGACUUCUAAUCCGAUGGCCGCAGGUUCGAAUCCUGCCGGGUGCGCCA